CGGGACCAGGGGCAACUCUGGUUCAGUGGCGGACGGGUGCGUAACACGUGAGGAACAUGACCUUCGGCGGGGGAUAGCCGGCCCAACGGCCGGGUAAUACCGCGUACGACCAUCCGGGGACAUCCCUGGGUGGUGAAAGCAGCAAUGCGCCGAUGGAGUGCCUCGCGGCCUAUCAGCUAGUUGGUGAGGUAACGGCUCACCAAGGCGACGACGGGUAGCUGGUCUGAGAGGAUGGCCAGCCACAUUGGGACUGAGACACGGCCCCAGACUCCUACGGGAGGCAGCAGUGGGGAAUAUUGCGCAAUGGACGAAAGUCUGACGCAGCGACGCCGCGUGUGGGAUGACGGUCUUCGGAUUGUAAACCACUGUCGGGAGGGACGAAUACGCCGCAAGGCGGGUGACGGUACCUCCAAAGGAAGCACCGGCUAACUCCGUGCCAGCAGCCGCGGUAAUACGGAGGGUGCGAGCGUUGUCCGGAAUCACUGGGCGUAAAGGGCGCGUAGGCGGCCUGAUAAGUAGGGGGUGAAAUCCUGCGGCUUAACCGCAGGGCUGCCUUCUAAACUGUCGGGCUCGAGCACAGUAGAGGCAGGUGGAAUUCCCGGUGUAGCGGUGGAAUGCGUAGAGAUCGGGAAGAACAUCAGUGGCGAAGGCGGCCUGCUGGGCUGUUGCUGACGCUGAGGCGCGAC
rnacentral:rRNA from 1 species